AGUCUUGAAGUGAAAUGCACGUCGAAUUGCAAAUUCGAAAACGUACCCAAAAGGUGCCCGGACU
rnacentral:tRNA from 1 species